rnacentral:tRNA from 1 species
GCUCCUGUAGCUCAGUUGGUUAGAGCCACCCGCUCAUAACGGGUCGGUCGUAGGUUCGAGUCCUACCGGGAGCACCA